AAAUCAAGUGAAGGAAUGCUUGAGGGAAGAGACUCCUUGGUGGCCAUGGACACUGAUGUUGGACCUAGCCUAAGUGGGCAUUCUGUUGCCUAAAAGGAGCUCUCUCCUUUUUUACUGUCCUCAUCUUUUCUUGAGGAUCACUGGCUUCAUCUUCAUCUUUUCCUCAUUCCCUUGUAGAAUAGAGUUCUCUGAGUCCUGUCAUCACCAAGCUUCAGUCUUUACUCAGAAGUGUACUCUGCACAGUGUCUGCUGUGUCUGUGGGAAUCACCCCACCACUUCACAAGAUCUUCCUCACUGGACACUCAAAGGUUGGAUGCUCUUGUGCCUUUGCUGUUUUCCAUCUGUUGGGGAGAAAGCUUUGAACCGGAGUAGUAGUGGCUAUUUGUCCUCCUUGCCCGUGCUUUUGAUAUUUGAUGAUACUGCCCCCAUUUUAUAGAUGAAGAAAACGACUUCAGGUCCUAGAAGUCCAGAAUGAACCCUUGUCCUUUCCAGAGAUCACUGCAGGAGCCAUGAAGUGCUUUGUGCGUCUCCACCUACCCACCAGGCCCCUGGCUACCUACCCUGCCAUCCACAGUGCCCCUGUAUAAGGAAGGGGAGGUCACUCUUUGAAGAGAAAGCGGUUCCUGGGGGCGGGAGUUAGGUGAGAAUACUUGGUCUAAGUGAUCAGAACGGAGACUACUUCUGUGACAGCACUUCGAUAGGAACUAUGCCUCCUCCCAGGACAAGGGAGGGGAGGGAUCGCCGAGAUCGAGACCACCAUCGAGCUCCCAGGGAGGAAGAGGCCCCGGAGAAAUGGGACUGGAACUGUCCAGAGACUCGUUGCCUCUUGGAAGAUGUAUUCUUCCGCGAUGAGGACUAUAUCUGUCGUGGUUCAGAGGAGUGUCAGAAGUUCUGGGCUUUCUUUGAACGCCUGCAGAGAUUCCAGCACCUCAAGACCUCCCAGAAGGAGGAGAAGGACCCUGGGCGUCCCAAACAAGCCGUUGCUGCUUUAGCUGAUCUGCCUCGCACUUACGACCCACGCUAUCGCAUCAACCUCUCCAUUCUCAGCCCGGACACUCGGGGUCGUCAUGGGCCCGGCAGAGGGCUGCCCACCGAGAGGGUGUCGGAGUUCCGUCGUGCACUGCUUCACUACCUAGACUUCCAGCAGAAGCAGGCUUUUGGGAGGCUCGCCAAACUGCAGCAUGAGCGUGCGGCGCUUCCCAUCGCCCAGUAUGGGAACCGCAUCCUGCAGACUCUCAAGGAACACCAGGUGGUGGUGGUGGCCGGGGACACAGGCUGCGGCAAGUCCACUCAGGUGCCCCAGUACUUACUGGCUGCCGGCUUCAGUCACGUGGCUUGCACUCAGCCCCGGAGAAUCGCCUGCAUCUCACUGGCCAAGCGCGUUGGCUUCGAGAGCCUCAGUCAGUAUGGCUCCCAGGUUGGCUACCAGAUCCGCUUUGAAAGCACUCGGUCAGCAGCCACCAAGAUCGUGUUCCUGACGGUGGGGCUGCUCCUACGGCAGAUCCAGCGGGAGCCCAGUCUGCCCCAGUACCAGGUCCUGAUUGUGGAUGAGGUCCAUGAGCGACACCUGCACAAUGACUUCCUGCUGGGUGUCCUGCAGCGCCUGCUGCCCCAGCGGCCUGACCUCAAGGUCAUCCUCAUGUCUGCCACCAUCAACAUCUCUCUCUUCUCUAGCUACUUCAGCCACGCUCCUGUGGUGCAGGUGCCUGGGAGGCUCUUCCCCAUCACGGUAGUAUACCAGCCGCAGGAGGCAGAGCAGACAGCAUCCAAGUCAGAGAAGCUGGACCCACGGCCUUUCCUGAGGGUGCUGGAGGCCAUCGACAAUAAGUAUCCCCCCGAGGAGCGGGGGGACCUCCUUGUCUUCCUCAGUGGCAUGGCAGAGAUCAGCACAGUGCUGGACGCUGCCCAGGCUUAUGCCAGCCUCACCCAGCGCUGGGUGGUGCUGCCGCUACACAGUGCCCUCUCUGUGGCCGACCAGGACAAGGUGUUCGACGUGGCUCCAGCUGGAGUGCGGAAGUGCAUCCUGUCCACCAACAUUGCCGAGACCUCAGUCACCAUCGAUGGCAUCCGCUUCGUGGUGGAUUCUGGGAAGGUGAAGGAAAUGAGCUACGACCCGCAGGCUAAACUGCAGCGGCUGCAGGAAUUCUGGAUCAGCCAGGCCAGCGCCGAGCAGCGCAAGGGCCGAGCGGGCCGCACGGGCCCGGGUGUCUGCUACCGCCUCUAUGCCGAGUCUGACUAUGAUGCCUUUGCCCCGUACCCAGUCCCGGAAAUUCGCAGGGUGGCCCUGGAUGCACUGGUGCUUCAGAUGAAGAGUAUGAGUGUCGGGGAUCCACGCACCUUCCCCUUCAUCGAGCCCCCUCCACCUGCCAGCGUGGAAACUGCUAUCCUCUAUCUCCAAGACCAGGGGGCCCUGGACAGCUCGGAGGCCCUCACCCCCAUCGGGUCCCUGCUGGCCCAGCUGCCUGUGGAUGUUGUGAUUGGGAAGAUGCUGAUCCUGGGCUCCAUGUUCAGCCUGGCAGAGCCUGUGCUCACCAUUGCUGCCGCCCUAAGCGUCCAGUCACCAUUUACCCGCAGUGCCCAGAGCAACCUGGACUGUGCCACCGCCCGGAGGCCGCUGGAAAGCGACCAGGGUGACCCCUUCACGCUCUUCAAUGUCUUCAAUGCCUGGGUGCAGGUGAAGUCUGAACGAAGUGGAAACUCUCGAAAGUGGUGCCGCCGCCGGGGUGUGGAGGAGCACCGGCUGUAUGAGAUGGCCAACCUGCGGCGCCAGUUCAAGGAGCUGUUGGAGGAUCACGGGUUGUUGAGUGGGACCCAGGCAGUGGCCCCAGGGGACAGCUACAGUCGACUGCAGCAGCGCCGAGAGCGCAGGGCCCUGCACCAGCUGAAGCGCCAGCAUGAGGAGGGUGGGGGACGCAGGCGCAAGGUGCUUAGGCUGCAGGAGGAUGGCUGCUCCAGCGACGAGGACCACGAGGGCUCUGCCUCCCAGCGGGCUGACAGCGUUGACAUCCAGGAUGUGAAAUUCAAGCUUCGGCACAACCUGGAGCAGCUACAGGCAGCUGCCAGCUCAGCCCAGGACCUGAGCAAAGACCAGCUGGCCCUACUCAAGCUGGUGCUUGGGCGGGGCCUGUACCCACAGCUGGCUGUGCCCGAUGCAUUCAACAGUGGCCGCAAGGACUCGGACCAGAUUUUCCACACGCAGGCCAAGCAGGGCACCGUGCUGCACCCCACCUGUGUCUUUGCCAACAGCCCUGAGGUAUUGCACACACAGGGGCAGGAGGCCUCAGGCCAAGAAGGGAGCCAAGAUAACAAAGACCAAAUGAGCUGCAAGCACCAGCUGCUGGCCUUCGUCUCUCUACUGGAGACCAACAAGCCAUACCUGGUGAACUGCGUCCGCAUCCCGGCCCUCCAGUCCCUCCUGCUGUUCAGCCGCUCCAUUGACACCAAUGGUGACUGCUCCCGCCUAGUGGCUGACGGUUGGUUGGAGCUGCAGCUCACAGACAGCGAGAGUGCCGUCCGGCUCCUGGCAGCAUCCCUGCGGCUCCGUGCCCACUGGGAAAGUGCACUGGACCGGCAGCUGGCCCACCAGGCCCAGCGACGGAAGCUGGAACAGGAGGACGACGUGGGGUCUCCAGCACUCAGUCCCCAGGAGGUGGCUGCUCUGAGCAGGGAGCUGCUGCAGUUCAUGGCGGCCAAGGUGCCCUACCGCCUCCGAAGGCUCACUGGUCUAGAAGCCCAGAACCUCUAUGUGGGACCCCAGACAAUCACGACUGCCCCUAGUCUGCCCGGCCUCUUUGGAAAUUCUGCCCUGUCCCCACACCCCACCAAGGGGGGCUACACUGUCUCUGACUAUCUCACCUACAACUGCCUCACGAGUGACACUGAUCUGUACAGUGACUGUCUGCGUUCCUUCUGGACCUGCCCACACUGCGGCCUGCACAUGCCGUUCACACCCCUGGAGCGCAUUGCUCAUGAGAACACCUGCCCUGAGGCACCGAGUGACGGUGCAGGGUCUGAGGAGGCUGCUCCUGCACCACCACAGAAGACAUCGGCCCUGCAGAGGCCCUACCACUGCCAGGUGUGCAAGCAGGACUUCCUCUUCACUCCCACCGAGGUGCUGAGACAUCGAAGGCAGCACAUGUGAGCCAGUACUGCAUGGCCAGAGCUCCCCAGAGCACCCCAAAUGGGGGGCAGCGGGAAGCUCCUUAAAACGGAAAGUAAACGAAGUUGCUUCAGGAAGUCCCUAAAACUUACCAGACUCACUAGACCCCC